UACGGGGGGAGCAAGCGUUGUUCGGAUUUACUGGGCGUAAAGGGCGCGUAGGCGGGAUGGCAAGUCGGUCGUGAAAUCUCUCGGCUCAACCGAGAAACGUCGGCCGAUACUGCUGUUCUUGAGGGAUGCAGAGGAGACUGGAAUUCCCGGUGUAGCGGUGAAAUGUGUAGAGAUCGGGAGGAACACCGGUGGCGAAGGCGGGUCUCUGGGCAUUUCCUGACGCUGAGGCGCGAAAGCGUGGGGAGCAAACGGG
rnacentral:rRNA from 1 species